AUUGAACGCUGGCGGCAGGCUUAACACAUGCAAGUCGAGCGGAGAUGAGGUGCUUGCACCUUAUCUUAGCGGCGGACGGGUGAGUAAUGCUUAGGAAUCUGCCUAUUAGUGGGGGACAACAUUCCGAAAGGAAUGCUAAUACCGCAUACGUCCUACGGGAGAAAGCAGGGGAUCUUCGGACCUUGCGCUAAUAGAUGAGCCUAAGUCGGAUUAGCUAGUUGGUGGGGUAAAGGCCUACCAAGGGGACGAUCUAUAGCGGGUCUGAGAGGAUGAUCCGCCACACUGAGACUGGGACACGGCCCAGACUCCUACGGGAGGCAGCAGUAGGGAAUAUUGGACAAUGGGGGGAACCCUGAUCCAGCCAUGCCGCGUGUGUGAAGAAGGCCUUAUGGUUGUAAGGCACUUUAAGCGAGGAGGAGGCUACUGAGACUAAUACUCUUGGAUAGUGGACGUUACUCGCAGAGUAAGCACCGGCUAACUCUGUGCCAGCAGCCGCCGUAA
rnacentral:rRNA from 1 species